GCAAACACUUCACCUUGUAUGUGAGUGAGGUGGUCCUGGCUACAUCACUCUGAUUGCCUCUGUCUUUUUUUCCUGUUUCCAGCCUAUCGAUGCUCACUUAAUGAACCAACAAACCCUGACCUGGCUGCUGCCUCUGAGCUGGAAGCCCAUCAUGGAGCACGAACAGCUGACAUCUUCUCCUGCUACAGUUUGCAGAUAGCUGAACACUUGCUUGUUAAAUCACACGAGAAUAGCUCGGUGAGAUGAACGGCUGCUGGCUGGGCUGGCAGGGACCGUUACGGCACAGCGGUAUCAGCUGGGAUGGGAAAUCCACCUCUGUCGAGCAAGAUUCACUACUGCAGAAGGAGAAGUUGGGUGCUGCUGCUGGAUCACUUUAUGGCCAACGAUCACCACUACAAUAUGAGGGUCUAAAAAUGGCUCCACAGAGCCCCGGCCACCUCCAGGGGUUUGAACCAUCAUGAGGUCUCCCUCAGGACAGCUACACUCCUGUCUCCUCCUCUCCCAGCAGAAGACAGUCCUGGAGACCUGUGACACCAACUGUGUUUUACCUCUUGCAAACACAAGGAUCUGCAACCUGCAGACUGCAUCUGACUUGCAGAGCUGUCAGAGGGAAAAGCACCAGAACCAGAUGCUGUUCAACGCUGAGAAUUGUAAAGCGCUCCAUCUGGGGAGGAAAAAUCCAUGACAAACCUAUAAGCCAAAAGGGACCUGG
rnacentral:lncRNA from 1 species